GAUGAACGCUGGCGGCGUGCUUAACACAUGCAAGUCGAACGGAAAGGCCCUGCUUUUGUGGGUUUCUCGAUUGGCGAACGGGUGAGUAACACGUGUGUAACCUCCCCUUGACUUUGUGAUAACUUUAGGAAACUGCGGCUAAUACCCGAUAUGACCUCCUGCUCCACGUUGUUGGAUGGUGAGUUUCGGCUGUUGUGUAUGUACUCGCUGCUUAUCAGCUUCUUUGUGUGGUAGUUGCUUACCAAGGCUGUGACGGCUAGGCGGCCUGGGAGGGUUACCGGCCACAAUGGGACUGAGAUACGGCGCAGACUCGUACGGGAGGCAGCAGUGGAGAAUAUUGCACAGUGGGCGGAAGCGUGAUGCAGAAGCGCCGCGUGCGGGAUGACGGCCUUCGGGUUAUAAACCGCUUUCGAAGGUAACGAAGCGUGAGUGACGGUAAUGGGUAAAAAAGCAACGGCUAACUACGUG
rnacentral:rRNA from 1 species